GUCUACGGCCACACCACUCUGAACGCGCCCGAUCUUGUCUGCUCUCGGAAGCUAAGCUGGGUCGGGCCUGGUUAGUACUUGGAUGGGAGACUUAGAUCAAGAAAUGUGACA
rnacentral:rRNA from 1 species